CAGUCAUACCAACGGGAAAUCAACCUUUUGAGCUCGGUCUCGUGGGUUUUGAAGAGUUUCAAAGCCUUCGGAUUCGCGGGAUUGGGAUCUCUCGGUGUACUUUCUCGUACGGUUAGUCAACAUCGGUUUUGAAUGUCAUAAAAUGACUGGAGGAAUGUAGCUUCGAUCUCGUACUGAAGUGUUAUAGCCUUUGGUAGAUGUGAUGUUUGAGACCGAGGAUUGCAACGGAUACCCUUCAGGGCUAUUCGUCUGAUCUCUGAUACGUUGCCCUGAUGUUGAAAGCUUGCUUAUGAUGUUAGGGUAUUACGGUCAAAAGGUUAGAACGAAUUACAUUCGUUAAGGAUGUUGACGUAAUGACUUUAAACGA
rnacentral:rRNA from 1 species